CAGUCGAACGGCCCCCCGGGGGCCCCCUGAUGGCGAGUGGCGAACGGGUGACUAAUACUUUUGAACGUGUCCUGUAGUGGGGGAUAGCCCGGUGAAAGCCGUAUUAAUACCGCAUACGCUCUAUCGAGGAAAGGGGGGGAUCUUAUGACCUCCCGCUACUGGGGCGGCCGAUGGCUAAUUAGCUAAUUGGUGGGGUAAAGGCCUACAAGAGGAACAAUCUGUUUGUGGUCUGAAAGGACCACCAACCCCUCUGGGACUGAGACACGGCCCAUAUUCCUACAGGAGGCCACACUGGAUAAUUUUGUGCCAUGUGAGUGAUCCUGAUCCUACGGUGCUACGUGUGUUUCGAAGGCCUUCAGGUUGUAAAGCUCUUGAGACCAGAAAGAAGCUACCUUGGUGCCAACCCGCGGCGGAUGACGAUACCGGAAGAAUAUGCUCCGAAUUACUGCGUGCCAACAGCCGCGGUACUACUCAAGGUGUAAGGGUUGAACUCAAUUGCUGGGCGUAUGGAACGGCCUUUCGUACCGCUAAUACGGAUGAGAAAUCACCUGACUUAACUUGCGAACUGCAUUGUGUGACUGGCGGUGAUAGUGUAAGGAACAGAGGAGUGUAGAAUUGCACGCUCGUAGCACUGAAAUGUGAUACAGAUGGGCAAGAAUACCGGAGGGCAGAACGCGACCCCCGUGGCCCAAUACUGAACGGUCAUGCGACGAAAGUGACGGGGAGAGCAAACGGGGAUAUUAUGAUACCGUGGUACGUCCACGCCAUAACAGAUGUCAAGUACUUGUCAGGUCUUCAGGACUUGGUAACAUCAGCUAACGCGUGACAGUGACCGCGGCGGGAGUAAGCUCGCAAGAUAUACAAACUCAAAGGAAUUGACGGGGACCCGCACAAGCGGUGGAUGAUGUGGAUUAAUUAGAUGCAACGCGAAAAACCUUACCUACCCUUGACAUGUAUGGAAUCCUGAGAGAGGUGGGAGUGCCCGAAAGGGAGCCAUAACACAGGUGCUGCAUGGCUGUCGUCAGCUCGUGUCGUGAGAUGUUGGGUUAAGUCCCGCAACGAGCGCAACCCUUGUCCCUAGUUGCUACGCAAGAGCACUUUAGGGAGACUGCCGGUGACAAACCGGAGGAAGGUGGGGAUGACGUCAAGUCCUCAUGGCCCUUAUGGGUAGGGCUUCACACGUCAUACAAUGGUCGGAACAGAGGGUCGCCAACCCGCGAGGGGGAGCCAAUUCCAGAAAACCGAUCGUAGUUCGGAUCGCACUCUGCAACUCGAGUGCGUGAAGCUGGAAUCGCUAGUAAUCGCGGAUCAGCAUGCCGCGGUGAAUACGUUCCCGGGUCUUGUACACACCGCCCGUCACACCAUGGGAGUGGGUUUUACCAGAAGUGGGUAGUCUAACCGCAAGGAGGACGGU
rnacentral:rRNA from 1 species